rnacentral:rRNA from 1 species
UGGCGGCGUGCUUAACACAUGCAAGUCGAGCGAUGAAGUUUCCUUCGGGAAACGGAUUAGCGGCGGACGGGUGAGUAACACGUGGGUAACCUGCCUCAUAGAGUGGAAUAGCCUUCCGAAAGGAAGAUUAAUACCGCAUAACGUUGAAAGAUGGCAUCAUCAUUCAACCAAAGGAGCAAUCCGCUAUGAGAUGGACCCGCGGCGCAUUAGCUAGUUGGUGGGGUAACGGCCUACCAAGGCGACGAUGCGUAGCCGACCUGAGAGGGUGAUCGGCCACAUUGGGACUGAGACACGGCCCAGACUCCUACGGGAGGCAGCAGUGGGGAAUAUUGCACAACGGGGGAAACCCUGAUGCAGCAACGCCGCGUGAGUGAUGAAGGUUUUCGGAUCGUAAAGCUCUGUCUUUGGGGAAGAUAAUGACGGUACCCAAGGAGGAAGCCACGGCUAACUACGUGCCAGCAGCCGCGGUAAUACGUAGGUGGCGAGCGUUAUCCGGAUUUACUGGGCGUAAAGGGAGCGUAGGCGGAUGAUUAAGUGGGAUGUGAAAUACCCAGGCUCAACUUGGGUGCUGCAUUCCAAACUGGUUAUCUAGAGUGCAGGAGAGGAGAGUGGAAUUCCUAGUGUAGCGGUGAAAUGCGUAGAGAUUAGGAAGAACACCAGUGGCGAAGGCGACUCUCUGGACUGUAACUGACGCUGAGGCUCGAAAGCGUGGGGAGCAAACAGGAUUUAGAUACCCUGGUAGUCCACGCCGUAAACGAUGAGUACUAGGUGUGGGGGUUUCAACACCUCCGUGCCGCCGCUAACGCAUUAAGUAUUCCGCCUGGGGAGUACGGUCGCAAGAUUAAAACUCAAAGGAAUUGACGGGGACCCGCACAAGUAGCGGAGCAUGUGGUUUAAUUCGAAGCAACGCGAAGAACCUUACCUACACUUGACAUCCCUUGCAUUACUCUUAAUCGAGGAAAUCCCUUCGGGGACAAGGUGACAGGUGGUGCAUGGUUGUCGUCAGCUCGUGUCGUGAGAUGUUGGGUUAAGUCCCGCAACGAGCGCAACCCUUGUCGUUAGUUACUACCAUUAAGUUGAGGACUCUAGCGAGACUGCCUGGGUUAACCAGGAGGAAGGUGGGGAUGACGUCAAAUCAUCAUGCCCCUUAUGUGUAGGGCUACACACGUGCUACAAUGGCUGGUACAGAGAGAUGCAAUACCGCGAGGUGGAGCCAAACUUAAAAACCAGUCUCAGUUCGGAUUGUAGGCUGAAACUCGCCUACAUGAAGCUGGAGUUACUAGUAAUCGCGAAUCAGAAUGUCGCGGUGAAUACGUUCCCGGGUCUUGUACACACCGCCCGUCACACCAUGAGAGUUGGCAAUACCCGAAGUCCGUGAGCUAACCGCAAGGAGGCAGCGGCCGAAGGUAGGGUCAGCGAUUGGGGUGAAGUAAG